GGGAUCUUCCCAGACCGGGGCACGAACCCGUGUCCCCUGCAUCGGCAGGCAGACUCCCAAUCACUGCGCCACCAGGGAAGCCCUUAAUUUACUUUUUAUCCAGCUACAUUCAUUUCCUUAGUUCCUGACUUUGGCAAGAGUGGUGGUGAUGUUGACAAAGAUCUCUCAUGAAAGGAACUCAGAGUGGGUCCAGAGUCAUUGCAAACUGAGGGUCAGGAGACUUCCUCAAGAUGAAACUGUGGGUGGAACACUCCCAGGAAGCUCCCACCUGACGGGCUCGUGGAUGGAGGGCCAGCGGCUGCGGCAGCCCCAUGUCUGUGCCCGUCUGCUCGGAUCCCCCUUUCGCCUGUCGCGUGUGUUUUCGCUCAGGGGGUUGUUACCUGUUUUGCAGGCACUUCCCGUUUGAGCCACCUGUGCUGACUCCAUGCCUCUCUGAGAAUCUGAGGUUGAACCGUCAGCAGCCCAUCCUCCGCCCUGCUGCCCCUCUCCGGUGACACCAUUUCUGGGGCUGUGCCUCGUGGGGCAGGGGUCCCAUCCCCCAGGUUCUCCCCCCAGGGCUGGCACGUGGCCCAUGUCUGGGUGUGGAGACCGUGUGGACUGUGAUGGGGGCUUUCACACAGCUUUCCCCAAAUGCAGGUGUCUCCCCUGCUUGGAUGGCUGGGCGGGACCUGUGGGUGCUACCCGGGUCACCCUUCCUGUCACCCGUGCCCACAUUGGAAGGUGAUGACUGUGGACCACCUGGGACAGCUAUAGGGGAAACACGGGGUCCUGGGUAACCCCCAGAACCCCCAUCUCCUCCCAGACCCAUCAGAUUUCCAGACCGAAGGGCUCCUGUCUGUCCAUACUCGUCACCCCUCACUGAUAGGAGGGGGAGAGAGCCAGGAGGAGCUACCUUCUGUUUAACUUUUCCAGAUUCCUGGCCACGCCGUCACCCAAGGUGGGGACCAUGGGCUGCCUGGGUGCUGGGAGAGCCGGCCGGUCCCUGAGGCUCUCCCAAAGGAUGAGCAUGUCUGCAAAUGGUGAGCCCACAGUAACAAGAAUUGCGCCCAGUGAGAGCCUCAGUCUACGUAUUUGUUGGAGGCUAAAUUUUCUUCGCACAUCUCAGCCAAAGCAGCAUAAUGUCCCAGACUGAGUGCAGAAGCAAGAUGUGAGGGUCUGGCUGUCUUCUGUGAAUUCGGACGCUUAGGAGCUUGGGAAAACUAUAAACUGUUGCCAUCCUUCUUACCGUUGUUUUUGUUUGUUUUGGAAAAUAUAGUGAUUUCUCUUAAAAGUUAUGCCAAUAUGUAAUGAAUUUAUGAUUGUUAGUUUGGAUACAAAUUGAUAAACCUCCAAAAAUUUUUCUCA